rnacentral:tRNA from 1 species
GCGUCUUUGGUCCAAUUGGUAGAGGCACUACAUUCAAAAUGUAGGGGUUCCCAGUUCGAAUCUGGGAAGGCGCACCA